CGCCCGCCUCGGCCUCCCAAAGUGCUGGGAUUACAGGCGUGAGCCACCGUGCCCGGCCCGGGUCUCUCACUUCUAUCCGUUAAUCUGUAUGACUGUCUCUCCUUAUGCCAGUACCAUACUGUUUUGAUUACUGUAGCUUCAUAGUAAGUUUUAAAUCAGGAUGUGUGAGUCCUCCAAAUUUAUUCUUCUUCUUCAAGAUUGUUUAGCUAUUCUGGGUCCCUUGAAUUACCAUAUUAAUUUUAGGAUCAGCUUGUUGAUUUCUGUAGAGGCCAGAUGGAAUUAUGAUAAGGAUUGUGUUAUAUCUAUAGUGCCCUGGGGAGUAUUGCCAUCUUAACAAUAUUAAGUCUUUUCAUUCUUUUGUCUUCUUUAACAAUAUUUUGUAGUUUUCAGAGUACAGGUUUUAUACUUCUUUUAUUAAAUUUAUUCCUAAGUAUUUUAGUCUUCUUGAUGCUGUUGUAUAUAGAAUUGGUUUCCUAAUUUCAUUUUCACAGUUUUCAUAGCAAGCAUAUGGAAAUAUAAUUAAUUUAUGUAUAUUAAUCUUGUAUCCUUCAACUUUGCUGAACUCAUUUAUUAGUGCUCAUGGUUUUUAAGUGGAUUUCUUAGGAUUUUUUAUAUAAGAUUAUGUCACCUGCAACCUGAAGGUUCUUAUGGAGGAUUACAACAACUGUGCUGUCGUGGGGCUAAGCUGGGGGUGCUUCAUCAAUCUUUUCAAAAUAGUGGUGUGUUUUUUGCCGAAAGCUUUUCAUUUUUCUCAUUAGAAAAGAUGAAUCUCUCAACAAAAAUUAUUACUAACUCUUUAUAUAUUACAUUUCAGCUGGCCACCGCUGAAAAAACACGUUUUUACUUUUUACUGCAAGGGUUGCACUUAUCAAUCUGCACAAACACAUGAAAGCACAUGAGGUCAUGAUUCCAACAAACUUUCAGUAUUGAUCUCUUUUAUUCAGGAGGCAUUGUGGUUUAUGGAAGAGCUUGGCUUGUGGAAUUGGGAGGCUGGUUUUCAAUCCAAAUCUAUCCAUAUUAUCAGUGAGACUAAUGCUCACCCAACUCAAUUCACAGGCUUAUUGUUGAAAGUCCAGUGAGCUACCUCAGGCUUUUCUCUGUGGAAUGACUGUUGCAGAGAACUGCACCUCAGAAGAAUGGAGGUACCAAAAGAGGCUGAGCUGUACCCUGGGCAAUGCUUACUUUUUAUUUUAGUCAAGUCACUUCCUGGGUUUCAUCGGGGACAAUUCCUUUCCUAGUUUAAAACUGUGAUGACAUUCUACCUCAUUGAAGAAAUCCUCCAGUGCCAAGGGUGGAUCUCUAAAGAAGGAUUCAAUCCAGGAUCACAUCUUAUAUUUACAAUAACAUGCCUUUUUUCUCCUUCAGUCUGGAACCGUGUCUCAGUCUAUCUUUGUUCUUUAUGACAUUGACAUAUUUUAAAGAAUAAAAGCCAAUUCUUUUAUGCACCAUCUCUUAUUGUGUGUUUGGCUGAUGUUGUCUGUUGAUUAGAUUCAGGUUAUGCAUUUCUGACUGGAAUCAUACAUAAAUGAUGUCCUUUUCAGAGUGUUGUCUCUGGAGACACAUGAUAUCCACAUGAUAUCUUCUUGGAGAGACAAACCACACUUAAGAAAUAUUUGACUACUUCGAGAGAUAUUUGACUUGCCACUUUCUGCUCCAAGAGGCCUCAGAAUCUAAAGUAGUCAAAAAAACAAGACUUCUCUCCUGAAUGUUCUGAUUGAUUGUAAUUUGUUAAGGGGCUUAUUUAACCAUUGCCUAAUUACUUUAGAAUAUGAUCACAUAUUAACCACAGCUGCUAUUACAUUCAAAACCACAACACACCUUCAUAUUUAUUAAUAACUUAUGCAGUUUCCCACCUUUCCCCCCAACCAUUUCAUUCUUAGUAACUCUGGAUCAUAACAUUUAUUUCAUGGUUAAU
rnacentral:lncRNA from 10 species